CUUGCCUACGGGAGGCAGCAGUGAGGAAUAUUGGUCAAUGGGCGCGAGCCUGAACCAGCCAAGUCGCGUGAGGGAGGACGGCCCUACGGGUUGUAAACCUCUUUUGCCGGGGAGCAACGGGCGUCACGUGUGGCGCCACUGAGAGUACCCGGAGAAAAAGCAUCGGCUAACUCCGUGCCAGCAGCCGCGGUAAUACGGAGGAUGCGAGCGUUAUCCGGAUUUAUUGGGUUUAAAGGGUGCGUAGGCGGCGCUUCAGGUCAGCGGUGAAAUACCGGGGCUCAACCCCGGGGCUGCCGUUGAAACCG
rnacentral:rRNA from 1 species